UACGUAGGGGGCGGGCGUUGUCCGGAGUUACUGGGCGUAAAGCGCACGCAGGCGGUUCGCCAAGUUUGGAGUGACAGUUGUCGGCUCAACCGACAAAGGACUUCAAAAACUGGUGAACUUGAGGACGAGAGAGGAACAUGGAACUCCAGGUGUAGUAGUGAAAUGCGUAGAUAUCUGGAAGAACACCAAUGGCGAAGGCAAUGUUCUGGCUCGUUUCUGACGCUCAGGUGCGAAAGCCAGGGGAGCGAACGGG
rnacentral:rRNA from 1 species